GGAGCGGCGGUGAAGGUCCUGGGUGAGGUAGGGUUGGAUGGUGCUUGCCGCGUAUCAUGGCUGCCUCCGGAAAACUCAGCACUUGCCGUCUCCCUCCGUUGCCCACGAUUCGAGAAAUCAUUAAGUUGUUAAGACUGCAAGCAGCGAAGCAGCUAUCACAGAAUUUCCUCCUGGACUUGAGGCUGACAGAUAAGAUUAGAAGAACUCAAGCGAAGAAAAAGCAAAAAUGAAGAAAAAGAAGAGGAUGACGCAGAGAAUUACAGACUCUAGCUGCUGCCUGGGGGCGAGCAGCCUACCAGAUGUCGAUUUGCACUACGUGGAGCUUCUUAUAUAGGUACUCUUUUGUCUUUACAGAAUGACGAUACAAAUGCCAAUGACCAGAUGUGACUUAUUUUCCUUUUACUAUACAGCUUGGCAGAGAAAAUAAAUAUCA
rnacentral:lncRNA from 1 species